AAAAUGCAGGAAAGUUAAAUAACAUUUCCAACUUCCUGGUUUGAGGCACAAACACAUUUGGUGUUGAAGGAAAAGGAUCAGGAAGAAACAAAACUAUAAUUUAUAGCUUAAGUAUGGUCAUGGGACAGGAAAUAAUGUGUGGCACUUACAAAUUCCAUGUCCAAGCCAGGAAAAGCAAAACAGAAACAAGGACCAAGAGGGUGGUAGUUAACCUAGAAAGACUGAGGACUAAGGAAGUCCCUACUGCUGACCGAGCCCAUACCAAGCAAAACCAGCAAGUGACAAGCAGCUCUCAACCCCUUUGGCUUCCUGCCUACCCUGAGAUAUUCUUCCCAAUAAUUCAAAUCUAAAAGGUUUUGAGCAGCAUGGGAAUUAAAAAAGAAAAGAAAAACCCACCUCUGUGAAAGAGUGGCUUAUAUACAGGUGAUCGUUUUGGAUGGCACACCUUAGCAUUACUAAGUUAAUGCAUCAGAAAGGUCGCAAACCCAUCCUCUGUAAAUCGGGACAGAACUGUGCCCUCUACUUGUUUUCUGCCCGAGCUUCAUUCUUGACUUCUGAAGUUAAUUUUAAUGGUUUAAGCCCUUCCUCUCUGUUUCCAAGAGUUUUGUUUAACUUUCUUUUAUCCCCCACUCACACCCUGACAGAUUAUGGUAUGAAAUAACAAAAAGUCCAUCGACUUUGAAAUCAGAUAGACCUGGGUUUAAAUCAGAUAGACCUGAUGCUUCAUCUCUGAAUCUUAUCUGUAAGCUUCUGCAAAAUGGACUAGUAAUAACUACUCCUGAAGUUCUUCUGAGUGUUAAAUGAGAUAAUGUAUGGAAACAUAUCAUGUCUGUUGUAGUAGAUAUGCUACAGUGACACAGCACACCUACUCCAGGACAAAUCAUUCAUGCCUCGGAUAGUAUCUGGAACAGUUAGCUACUUAACUGCAAUCAUCUUCUCAAUACAUUUACCAAAAUACAGAAAAGUGCCAUGCAUCAGUUACUUGUGAAAAUUCUAUCUCCAGUCCCGAUCUCUCUCCCUUGAGUUAGAGCCCUGGAUUUGUGGCUACUUCGUGAAUAUUACUAUCUACUAGUGACUUUAGAAUUGGCUAGAAUUCAUUUUAUGCCAUUGCUAUUAGAAAUAGGAAAGCAGACCUCAACACAUGAAUUCAUUUGGCCUUUGUUAUAUAUACAUAGACAGGAUAGGAAGUAGGACUUAGGUCACCCACCUCUCUAUUUCCUGUAUUUCUCUAAGUGCUUCUUGAUGUCUCUCCACCAGCUGGACCACAUAGAAAAGCAAAUUUAUCACCACACUUCCUCCAAAAUUAGCUCCCCCUCUGGACUUAUUUCUGUUAAUUGAACCUUAAUUUUCCUGGUCUGAUUCAGGACUUGCAAUGUCCUUGGCAAGAUUUUCUGCCUUCUUCUACACCCACCCACCAGUCCCUGCAUCCAUUUGUUACCAAACUACCAUAAUUUCGUCUUUCACAAAGUCUCCUGUCUAUCCUUUCCUUUUAGUUUCACCUUGACAGCACACUCUAGAACCUCAUUACCUCACACCAGGACAAAGGGGUCCUACCUAGACGCCCUUCCACCUGCCCAUCUAAUCCCAAACACUCUGUGCACACUGCCACUUUCACCAUCCCAUAUCCACGCUUCGCAGAGACACCUGCAAAAACACUUGCAAUGCAAGACUCAGCCACAACUGAGCCUCAGAGUGUGACAUCUAGGGGACACCUUGACAAAGAACCACAGGAGAAACCAAAGAGAUCCAACAUUCCGCUGCUGCCAGGUGUUGAGGAAAUGCACACACCCUCAUGAGAGAGACACAAACCAUCACAGAGCAUCAGAAGUGGAUGAAACUUCUUGGCCUGGAGAAUUAAAAAAAAAAAAAAAAGAAAGAAAGGAAAGCACUGUGAGACUUUUGCCCCAUCACAGAUUGAAGGAAAAGGUGAAAAAAACAGAAUGUAGAAGUCAUAAAACUGCAGAGGCCUAUUAUCUAAACAUCUGACAUGACAUUGCCCCAUCUUAUAACUGAAGUUCUCAAGACUGAGUGAAAAAAUCAAGAAAGAACAUGUGUUCUGAGAUAGCAUCAAUAGUAUGUUCUUUCUGUAAAUAAAGCACAUUAAUGUACUGAAUAAGAUGGAUUUCAAAAUUUGGUAAUAAAAUGUUCAUAAAUGUGCUAUGUCAAUGCAAUAUGAUAAGCAUAAAGAAAGAAUGAUUAUAGCUGCAAAUUUAAGAUAUAAAUUUUAUGUAACUAUCACAGGAAAAUCAUACAAUUCUUUAAAAUGAACACUUGCUAUAGAGAUAGGUACAGAAAUAACACGAGUAACUAUUUCAAGUUACACACAAAUAUGCAGAUUCAUGUUGAUUCCAUCUGUGAAUGCUGAAGCAAUUUACAUACGUGUGAAUCUGAAAU
rnacentral:lncRNA from 1 species